rnacentral:lncRNA from 1 species
CUCGUGAAAAUUAAUACUGUUCAAACAAAUUAGAACAGAAGGAGUAAUAAUAUAUGUAUAAUUUAAAACUAGAAUUGAGGGGAAGGAUUGAUAAGGCCAUUUGAAUAAAAUAUGAAAUCUCCAUCUCACAUUUUAUGAUGUAUAAGCAACAAAUAAGAAAACUUUCUCUUUCCAAUCUUAAUAAUAUAAAUUUAAAAAAAAAAAAAAAGGGUGAAAGAUAAGACAUUGACAAAGAGGAAAGCAGAAAGAUUCGAAGCAGGUGGUCCAAUCAGACGAAGGGAUUCCAAAUCCUAAAAGCUCAAAAAAAAAAAAUAAUGGGGAUGGAGAAAUGAAUCUGUAUUUAAGGAAAAGAUACAUUUUAUCGCCGCCCUCAUUUAAGUGCCCAUAACAGGCCCAUGAUGCAGAGUAAUGAAGCAACUUGAAUAUUCCAAAAAAACCAGGUGUAAUGUUAGGUGUAAUACGCAACGUAAGCCUCCAAAGUCUAUGAUUUUU